rnacentral:rRNA from 1 species
GCGUACACGGUGGAUGCCCUGGCAGUCAGAGGCGAUGAAGGACGUGCUAAUCUGCGAAAAGCGUCGGUAAGGUGAUAUGAACCGUUAUAGCCGGCGAUGUCCGAAUGGGGAAACCCAGUGCAAUUCGUUGCACUAUCGUUUGAUGAAUACAUAGUCAAACGAGGCGAACCGGGGGAACUGAAACAUCUAAGUACCCCGAGGAAAAGAAAUCAACCGAGAUUCCCCCAGUAGCGGCGAGCGAACGGGGAGCAGCCCGGAGUCUGAAUCAGCUUGUGUGUUAGUGGAAGCGUCUGGAAAGUCGCAGGGUACAGGGUGAUACUCCCGUACACUAAAGCACACAGGUUGUGAACUCGAAGAGUAGGGCGGGACACGUGGUAUCCUGUCUGAAUAUGGGGGGACCAUCCUCCAAGGCUAAAUACUCCUGACUGACCGAUAGUGAACCAGUACCGUGAGGGAAAGGCGAAAAGAACCCCGGCGAGGGGAGUGAAAAAGAACCUGAAACCGUGUACGUACAAGCAGUAGGAGCCUCUUUAUGGGGUGACUGCGUACCUUUUGUAUAAUGGGUCAGCGACUUAUAUUCUGUAGCAAGGUUAACCGUAUAGGGGAGCCGCAGGGAAACCGAGUCUUAACUGGGCGUUAAGUUGCAGGGUAUAGACCCGAAACCCGGUGAUCUAGCCAUGGGCAGGUUGAAGGUUGGGUAACACUAACUGGAGGACCGAACCGACUAAUGUUGAAAAAUUAGCGGAUGACUUGUGGCUGGGGGUGAAAGGCCAAUCAAACCGGGAGAUAGCUGGUUCUCCCCGAAAGCUAUUUAGGUAGCGCCUCGUGAAUUCAUCUUCGGGGGUAGAGCACUGUUUCGGCUAGGGGGUCAUCCCGACUUACCAACCCGAUGCAAACUACGAAUACCGAAGAAUGUUAUCACGGGAGACACACGGCGGGUGCUAACGUCCGUCGUGAAGAGGGAAACAACCCAGACCGCCAGCUAAGGUCCCAAAGUCAUGGUUAAGUGGGAAACGAUGUGGGAAGGCCCAGACAGCCAGGAUGUUGGCUUAGAAGCAGCCAUCAUUUAAAGAAAGCGUAAUAGCUCACUGGUCGAGUCGGCCUGCGCGGAAGAUGUAACGGGGCUAAACCAUGCACCGAAGCUGCGGCAGCGACACUAUGUGUUGUUGGGUAGGGGAGCGUUCUGUAAGCCGUUGAAGGUGGCCUGUGAGGGUUGCUGGAGGUAUCAGAAGUGCGAAUGCUGACAUAAGUAACGAUAAUGCGGGUGAAAAACCCGCACGCCGGAAGACCAAGGGUUCCUGUCCAACGUUAAUCGGGGCAGGGUGAGUCGACCCCUAAGGCGAGGCCGAAAGGCGUAGUCGAUGGGAAACAGGUUAAUAUUCCUGUACUCGGUGUUACUGCGAAGGGGGGACGGAGAAGGCUAUGUUGGCCGGGCGACGGUUGUCCCGGUUUAAGCAUGUAGGCGGAUGUUCCAGGUAAAUCCGGAACGUUAUUAACGCUGAGGUGUGAUGACGAGGCACUACGGUGCUGAAGUGACAAAUGCCCUGCUUCCAGGAAAAGCCUCUAAGCAUCAGGUAACAUCAAAUCGUACCCCAAACCGACACAGGUGGUCAGGUAGAGAAUACCAAGGCGCUUGAGAGAACUCGGGUGAAGGAACUAGGCAAAAUGGUGCCGUAACUUCGGGAGAAGGCACGCUGAUAGGUAGGUGAAGUGGUUUACCCAUGGAGCUGAAAUCAGUCGAAGAUACCAGCUGGCUGCAACUGUUUAUUAAAAACACAGCACUGUGCAAACACGAAAGUGGACGUAUACGGUGUGACGCCUGCCCGGUGCCGGAAGGUUAAUUGAUGGGGUUAUCCGUAAGGAGAAGCUCUUGAUCGAAGCCCCGGUAAACGGCGGCCGUAACUAUAACGGUCCUAAGGUAGCGAAAUUCCUUGUCGGGUAAGUUCCGACCUGCACGAAUGGCGUAAUGAUGGCCAGGCUGUCUCCACCCGAGACUCAGUGAAAUUG